UACGUAGGGUGCAAGCGUUAAUCGGAAUUACUGGGCGUAAAGCGUGCGCAGGCGGUUUUGUAAGUCUGUCGUGAAAUCCCCGGGCUCAACCUGGGAAUUGCGAUGGAGACUGCAAGGCUAGAAUCUGGCAGAGGGGGGGUAGAAUUCCACGUGUAGCAGUGAAAUGCGUAGAUAUGCGGAGGAACACCGAUGGCGAAGGCACUCUGCUGGGCCGACACUGACACUGAGAGACGAAAGCUAGGGGGAGCGAAUGGG
rnacentral:rRNA from 1 species